AUACUUACCUGGCAGUGGAGACACCAUGAUCAUGAAGGUGGUUUUCCCAGGGCGAGGCUUAUCCAUUGCACUCCGGAUAUGCUGACCCCUGCAAUUUCCCCAAAUGUGGGAAACUCGACUGCAUAAUUUGUGGUAGUGGGGGACUGCAUUCGCACUUUCCCCUG
rnacentral:snRNA from 1 species